rnacentral:rRNA from 1 species
CCCUUAGAUGUUCUGGGCUGCACGCGCGCUACACUGAAGCGUUCAACGAGUAUUCACCUUGCCCGGGAGGGUUGGGUAAUCUUUUUAAAACGCUUCGUGAUGGGGAUAGAUUAUUGCAAUUAUUAAUCUUCAACGAGGAAUGCCUAGUAGGCGCAAGUCAUCAGCUUGCGUCGAUUACGUCCCUGCCCUUUGUACACACCGCCCGUCGCUCCUACCGAUUGAAUGAUCCGAUGAAUACCAUGGAUUGAGAGUACGAAUAGGUUCGCUUAUUUCUGCUGCUCGAGAAGUGGAGUAAAUCUUAUCAUUUAGAGGAAGGAGAAGUCGUAACA